UUCCAGAAUUAAUGUUAGGGCAGGUGGCAAAUGAGUUCUUUCUAAUUUUCCAGUCUUCUCCCUGGGACAGAUUCUGCCUUCUUGUUCAGUAUGAGCAGUUCUUUACUACCCUUAGGGAUACAGGAAGAAAUAACAUAAACUGAAGACAUGUGACAGAAUCUGACUCAUUAUGAAAUGGGGGUAUGCCUGAUUCGGUGUUACAUAUGCAAUGUACUCGAUUUAUUAUGAGACAAUAAUUUUAGAUGUAAUACCAGUGUUACAAACUGGAAUGUCUUAAAGAUGUUUACUGUAUUACUAGCCUUUUUAGUGGCAAGCCUACAUACUGUUUGUUUCUGUACCUGCUAGUAUGAUUGUGUUUUGUUGAAUAUAAUGCUUUGAAAGCUUUCAUUUCAAGCAAGAGUAAUCUUUUUCACAGUCUGAGAUUCUAAGGCAACAUCAUUUGAAACAAAUGACAUCUCCUGACCUAUACUCAUCCACCUAAUUUGUGAAGACCGAGAUUUUUACUGACAUUUCAAUGAAAAUCCAAAAGAGGCGUACAAAUACAUGAGUCAUAGAUAUUCAGAGAUACAUUAAUACAUAUUUAUUGUCAUGUGUAUAUACACUGAUAUAUAUAUACAUGCAUAUAUGCAUGAUAGAAGUGCAUAAAAAGUCUCUAACAAGGGGACAUGAGUGAUUUUUAUUAGGCUUAUUUGAUAUAGUAAUAAUUCAUUGUUCUGUCUGACUUAUUGAGAGCUGAUAAUAGAAUAGCCCAAGGGGAAGAAUCUAUGCCAGGCUCCUAGAUCAAAGGGUUUAGUUCUUUGCUCACAUAGGUGCUGAAUCCAUGGCGGAUUUCCAAGUGAAAGUGCCUGCAGCAAUGUUUGCUAAUUACAGGUUGUGUUCUACUGUUUCCAAACAGGGUGAAAGUGACAGAAGUUUAACUGUGAAUAAUUACACACUUGAAUAAGUAUGUGAUUAGCCCUUUUUGUUGUGGUUGGGACUAGAGUGACAGGACAAGAAUGGAGUGAUUGCAUUAUUUACAGCUUAAUUGUAGACAAAUAAUUACUUAUGUAAACUGGUGCUUUAGGGUCAGGGAACACAUGCCUGAGAAUUACUAGGAUUUGAAUGGAAACUUCAGAAACUGGAUUUCCAAAUGAUAUAUCAUAAGUGAAAAUUCUGUGCAUUUAUCCAAUUACGGGGUGUUUUUCUUGAAUUAAAUAUCUUGGAAUGUUAAAUGACCUGUUCUCUUGAAAUCAAGGCUUAGACAAAAUCUUUUUAAGCCACUGCUUCUAACCCAAUAAAUCACAAAUGCCACCUAGUGGCUUUUGCUAUCUAGUGAAUCAUUGCAUAUGUGCCAAAAAAAAAAAAAAAAAAAAAAAUCUAGAGAUUUACCAGCAUUUUAUUUCCAUCAAUGUGCAUAUGGCUGAUGGGAUUGUCUGUGAUUUUUUUUUUUUUUUAUAAUUUAGUUCCCAACUAAAUUUUAUUUGUAUUGGAUCAGACUGUGAAAAUCUUACUCAUGUUGCUGAGUGAUAAUGAAUUUAAACCCAUUAAAAUGCAGUUAAAAUCCCUGUCUUGGAACUGUGUUUUAUCUCUACAUGUUUUCAUUGCCAAGUGGAGGAAGGUCCCUGUUUACAAAAGAAGAUCUUAAGUUAGUGAUAAGGUUAUCUCAGGUUAAUUAAAUUAAGUUAAAUUCAUUUACCUUGUUAGCGAAUUGCUCUGAUUUAGGGUUAAUCCAAGCUUGUUUGUCCAAAUAAAUAAAAGCUUCACUCUUUACUUGUGUGCUGCACUUUCAAAAUGAUAGUCUUCCAAAAUACAAAUAAAUGUCCAAGCAGGAAAAAAGAAAUAAAAAAGAAAAAGAUAGAGAAGAAGAAGAAGACCAAGCUGAUUAUUUGGUGCUUAAGCAUAAGUAGAGUGCAGAAAAGAAGAACCCAUUCUAAUGCCAAGAAACUAGAAAAGUGUUUCUUUUAAAAGAAUGAAACUUCUAGGAUGGAUUUUGAAGUAUUUUCCUUCUUCCUAACUGGACAAUUUCCUUAAGUAUUGUCUCCAAAAUCUCAGCAUCAGAUUGCCUUGCAGUCCUUGCUAUUCUGGAUACCAUGAAACAUGGCUGUGCAUGGAAAUCUUCUUUAUGAUUAUUAGGGGAACGUUUUGUUUCUUACUGGCCGUAAAGACUGUCAUGGAAAAGAAGACAGAAGGCAGCCAAAAGGUCACCAGAAUAUUUCCACUCAUAAUGGAAAAUUUUUAUUAUUUUAUUUUAUUUUAUUUUAUUUUAUUUUAUUUUAUUUUAUUUUAAUAUUAUAUAUUUAUUAAUUUAUUUUUCUGGAAUAUCAGACAAGUGCAUAAGACAAUGCUUUUUAUUUAUUUAAUUUUAUAUUUAUUUAUUUUUCCUGAAAGAGCCUAGAGUUUCUUUGUCAGAAACAUAAAAUGUGCAUGGGUGCAGUGACACAUUUAGAACUUUAAUAGAGUACAGGAUGAAAACGUUGGUGGAGUAAACAAAAUAGUUUCAUUUUCCCUAGUUUUUCCAAUUAGAAGGUUAACAAACUUGAAAAGCAAUAAAAAUCUGUAUUACAGUUGUUUGACAUGAUAUGUUAGCUCAUGACCCUAUCCAGUAAAAUAUAGCCAUCUGAAAUGAAGAAAAGAAGGAUACAUGAAGAAAACAUCCACUUCAAUUUAAUUUGAGUGAAGUCAUAUAGGUUCCAACAAUGGCACAUUAGGUUUACAAUAAAUCUAAACUUGCCCAGGCAUAAUUUUAAGGCCCUGUGGUCCACAGCCAGCGAGAAAAAAGAACUCUGUACAGUAUGCCCACUUGUAGGUUACAUCAACUUUUCUUUGAGUUGCUUUCUUUAAUCGCUGUGAGGUAUAAAUACAAUCACCAGUUAGCUUACAUAGGAGAUGUAUGAGACACAUAAGGAAAAACUCUGGCUAGAUGUAAAUCCCUGAGUUAGGUUCCUUGGAAGAAAGUAUUACAUUUCGAUCACUUAUUUAUUUUUUAAAGAACAUCUUGGAUAGAAUUAUAGUAAUUCCUUGACAGAUUCCUGUCUAAGCACUGCUGAAUGCAGUUUAAUUGCUCCCUAACUAAUUUGAGCAGGUGUGUGGAUAAGGAAGCUAUUCUCUACUACUUCUUAGUGGUGAAUUAUCUGUUCAGAUAAUUUUAACUGAAACUUAGUGUCUGUGUGAACAUGACUAAUUCCCAGGAUUCAAUUUUAUGAACAGUUCUCUUCCUCUGGCUGCAAAAGAAUAUUUUAUUUGUACAUAUUUUUAGAUGUGAUAUAUAGUAUAUGGUAUAUAGUAGAGUGACCGAUGUUUGUUUAAUUUAGCCCCAGUACCAUACUAAACUGACAAAAGGAGACACAUGAGAUUCAUGGACCCUGGCUGCAUAGCUGGCCAAGCAGUAGUAGAAAAAAUCCUGUUGAGGCAGUAAGAGAAACAACUGAGAACCUGUGGUGAGCCAACAGCAGAAAAUUAUGAUAUAUUUCAAAUAUACUACAAAAUAUCAAAGUAUCUACAUUCUCAAAAUCAACAUAGUUGAAGCUUCUAUAAACCUGACUUAAGGGCGUAAUAACAUUUUUUUCUACUGAGAAAAUCAUUUAAAAAUCAUAUGAGAACACAUAUCUAAUACAAGGGCCUUCAGUUACUUGGUUCUUUUUAUUUUCUAAUACAUAGGUUGCCAUGUUGUUAGAGAUGUAUAUAAUUCUGGAAAGCUACUUACAGUUCCAAGUAUUUCUGGUGUAUAUUAUUGAAAUUAGGGGAAUAGAUUGACAGAUAACCCACCCAUGCUUCAAAUUCUACUAUUAUUUAUUUUUAAAGUAAUAAUAGGAAAAUAGGUAAGAUUUUGUUUGCUGCUGAAACAUUUCUGAGUGUCAAGUGUGAACAUGUUUUACAAAUAAACUUGAAACAUUUAUCUCUUUAUGUUUUCUAUACUGAAUCCUGACAUAGGUACUGAAUAUAUUUAUAUUGAUUGAUCUGUAUCAAAUGGCUUUAAAAUGUCUUAAUAUUUUCUGUAAUCUUUUCUUAUUAUGUGUCACAUAAUAAUUCCUGUGAAUAUACUAUGUUUUUGACUGCAUUCUCUAUAGAGACUUGAGAAAAAUGGACUCCUAUAACAAAGGGAGUAGAAAUCAUUCUAGAGAUUACUUUCAGUGAUCUUACGGAAAAAAAAUGUGUCAUUUGAACCUGUUGUUGGGAUCGAAUUUCCCAUUUACUUAGAAGUUUGUUGUAAAAGUGAAAUCUCUAACAUCACCCUUAAAAUGGUGUAACUUUAACUUAAUGUAGAUACUAAAACAAUAAACUGUCAGUGAAUAUGGGAAAACUAAAACAUAAUACCCAGGUAAUUACACAUUAAUUUUUCACAUUUGCCUGAUGUCACAACCCUAUCAGUUUUGCCAUUAAUGUCCCAUUACAUGCUGUGGGAAAUUUUAUCUCAAAACUCAAAGUGGAAAAAUGUAGGCUGCCUCUUCUAUUGUUAUAAUGCAUGGCAAAGUCAGUUCAGUCAGUGUUUGCUAGACAUCAGUGUUAUCAAGAUUGAGAUCUACUUUAUUGUAUAAUCUGAAGAUGUAUUACAAUGUAACCUUUGUCAUAUGUUUUUAUGCCUUACUGAUUAGAAAAAAUAAAAUAAAACAGACUUUCAAUGUUACUUAUAGAAUCUUCGGAUAAUGUUUGUUAAAAAGGGAUUUAACUUUAAGAGCAAAGAAUUGAAAAGAGCAAAGAAAAUCUGUCAUGGAUUUAACCCCAUAAAUAUUGAGAUGUUGCUAAUAAUAUUUUUUGAUAGCUUUCUCUGCUAGGCCGAGAUAAUGAUAAUGUUAAUAUAUCAAAAUAAACCAGUAAGUGUGUGCUCUGUGUGGCAUUAGGAAGAAGUCUUUAAAUAAUAGCAGUAGAAUUUUUGUCUUUGUGACUAAAAUAAAUUAAGCUUGACUGGAAGAUCCCAUAAGAUCAGUCAUCAUGUUACUGCAAGGAAUUGCAGUAAAAGGAACAUGUAUCAGCUUGUAGUCUCUCAAGAUGUCUGUACUGUUUAACAGUCAAAGAUUGGACUUAGUUUUUUCUGGCACCAUUGCUGUGGCAUCCUCUGGCUGUUAUUCAUCAAACAUUUGCUAACAUUUUCAGGAGUUUUCUUAUUUGGCUGUGAGCGGAUGUGUUAUUGAAUUAUAAACAUGUUGCUCUUUUUGAACAGCAAGUUUUUGUUCACUCUAGGUUAACAUUAACCCAAGAGUAAUAGAGCAAAAGUAAUUUUUAGGUUAUUAAUUUAACAAAGUCUUCAUUUUUUAAUGUAAGCUGCUUCAAUUUUGAGAAUAAAGUCAUAGAUUUAAUGCUCAAUUUUAACAUGAAAACAAAGAAAACAAAUCAAGCAGAAGAACAAUAAAAAAUCUGCAGUGAAUCACAGGAAGUAUAAAUACCAGGGGCUUUGUAAGAUCUAACAUUUUAUUGUUAUUAUAAUUUGAAGAUAAAAAUGGUUUGUAAGACAGUUAGACUCUAUACCAAAGUUUAUACACUUUGACUUUUGAUGCAUAGUCAUAUUUACAAAUGUAAUGGACUGCCAUUUAGGCACACUGGUUAUUUGCAUUAGUAGGGGUGGGGAGAAGGAACUGUGGAUGAAAUUCUUCAGGGCUCCGUGCUGUGACUUAUACAUUAAUCAUGAAGCACCAUGCUUAUGCUAAUGUAACUCAGUCCAAUUAGGCAUAGAACAUAGAACAUCAGGAAUAGAAUCAUAAGCUAUUGGAUCUCUGAAAUAUGAUCCUUGGCCCAAUUUUCCAAAGCAAAGUACAUAUGAGAUGCCUUUUUACUUUUGAAAACUGGUAAACAAUUGUAUUCAAAGUGUUUAUUUCAUGUCUUUGACUUCAAAAUAAAACUUUAUCCCAGUUGCCAUGAUUUUUUUUCCUAGUCGCCAGAGAGGAGCUAAAGAUAUUUGGAAUAGAAAAUAAAAUGUUUAUUCAGAGCACAGAAGUGCUGUAAAUUUUUGAGAAUAUUUUAAUAUUUGGAAAAUUUUCACUAUGGGUUUUGAACAUUCUGCCUUCUGAAAAUAUUGAGACUGGAUUUGUCACUUUCUUUUUUUUUUUUUUCCUUACAACAUAUGAUUGAUUAAAAUAUUCUGAUUUGCAUUCAGAAAAUUCAUUGCCUUAAAAGAAAAUAUGCAAAAUACUAAGCACUGAAUUUAAGAAGGAUAAAUUUCAUUACAUAGAUUAAUUCAUAAUCUUGUCCAGAAAUUAGAUUCUUACAGAAUUUGGGGUUCUAGCUGUAAUAGAGCAUCAAAUCAAAAACAGUUAGUGCAAAUUUUGUAUGCUGGGAAGAAGAAUUGUCACCUUUAAAAGCUGUGUGUGUUCACUCUAAUAUGUUUGUAAGAAAGACAGAGAGUGAGUAUGUGAGUGUAAGAAAAAGAGAUGUUGUGAUUUUAAACUGGAGUGGGCACAUCAUCAUCUGGAUAUCAAAUCACAGCACAGUGAGGAGGUGUCCAGACAAGGAUUAUUGGAGCUCAUUACAAGGGGAAGUAUGAUAUCUUUUUCUGUAUUUUUUAGUGUAUGAGCACUUUCCUUGAACAUAACUAUAUUAUGGGAACUGAUAUCAAGAAAAAGAUAGGAAAUAAUCUUUAUUAUUAUUAACAAUUAGUAGAGAGACUUUAUAUAGGGUACAGAUUCAUAUUUCAACUAACUCCUGGACAGCAAGCUGAGAGAAUGUACACCUCAGAAAGUUAAGCAGUCUUCCCAUAUAUAUUAAUAAUAAUAUAUAUA